rnacentral:lncRNA from 1 species
UUAGGCUAAGUCUUCAGAUUUUUAUGAUAUAUAUCGGAACUCAUUUGCAAUGUCUUUCGAUUUGAUAAAACCUUCACCGAAAAUCCUUUACAAAGUGUUCCAGUUUUUUGAAAAGUUAAUGCACCGAAACUCUUUCAAAAUGUUUUCCGAUUUGUUUUUUUAAAAUCGAAACUCUUUCAAAAUGUGUUCCGAUUUAUUUUUUUAAAUUUUUU